AUUGAACGCUGGCGGCAGGCCUAACACAUGCAAGUCGAGCGGAUGAAGGGAGCUUGCUCCUGGAUUCAGCGGCGGACGGGUGAGUAAUGCCUAGGAAUCUGCCUGGUAGUGGGGGAUAACGUCCGGAAACGGGCGCUAAUACCGCAUACGUCCUGAGGGAGAAAGUGGGGGAUCUUCGGACCUCACGCUACCAGAUGAGCCUAGGUCGGAUUAGCUAGUUGGUGGGGUAAAGGCCUACCAAGUCGACGAUCCGUAACUGGUCUGAGAGGAUGAUCAGUCACACUGGAACUGAGACACGGUCCAGACUCCUACGGGAGGCAGCAGUGGGGAAUAUUGGACAAUGGGCGAAAGCCUGAUCCAGCCAUGCCGCGUGUGUGAAGAAGGUCUUCGGAUUGUAAAGCACUUUAAGUUGGGAGGAAGGGCAGUAAGUUAAUACCUUGCUGUUUUGACGUUACCAACAGAAUAAGCACCGGCUAACUUCGUG
rnacentral:rRNA from 1 species